AUGGAAGUGGCUGUUGGAGGCUUUAAGUUUGCCACAGUUUACAAGGCCAGAGAUAAGAAUACCAACCAAAUUGUCGCCAUUAAUAAAAUCAGACUUGGACAUAGAUCAGAAACUAAAGAUGGUAUAAGCAGAACAGCCUUAAGAGACAUACAAUUAUUACAGGAGCUAAGUCAUCCAAAUAUAAUUGGUCUCCUUGAUGCUUUUGGACAUAAAUCUAAUGUUAGCCUUGUCUUUGGUUUUAUGGAAAAUGAUCUAGAGGUUAUAAUAAAGGAUAAUAGUCUUGUGCUGACACCAUCACACAUCAAAGCCUGCAUGUUGAUGACUCUUCAAGGAUUAGAAUAUUUACAUCAACAUUGGAUCCUACAUAGGGAUCUAAAACCAAACAACUUGUUGCUAGAUGAAAAUGGAGUUCUAAAACUGGCACAUUUUGGCCUGGCCAAAUCAUAUGGAAGCCCCAGUAGAGCUUAUACACAUCAGGUUGUAACUAGGUGGUAUCGGGCCCCUGAGUUACUAUUUGGAGCUAGGAUGUAUGGUGUGAGUGUGGACAUGUGGGCUGUUGGCUGUAUAUUAGCAGAGUUACUUCUAAGAGUUCCUUUUUUGGUCAGGAGAUUCAGACCUUGAUCAGCUAACAAGAAUAUUUGGGUACACCAACUGAGGAACAGUGGCCAGACAUGUGUAGUCUUCCAGAUUAUGUGACAUUUAAGAGUUUCCCUGGAAUCCCGUUGCAUCACAUCUUCAAUGCAGCAGGAGACGACUUACUAGAUCUCAUACAGGGCUUAUUCUUAUUUGAUCCAUGUGCUCGAAUUACGGCCACGCAGGCACUGAAAAUGAAGUAUUUCAGUAAUCGGCCAGGGCCAAUACCUGGAUGUCAGCUGCCAAGACCCAACUGUCCAGUGGAAACCUUAAAGGAGCAAUCAAAUCCGGCUUUGGCAACAAAAAGGAAAAGAACAGAGGCCUUGGAACAGGGAGGAUUGCCCAAGAAACUAAUUUUUUAAAGAGAACACUGGACAACAUUUUACUACUGAAGGAAAUAGUCAAAAAGGCAAAUAAUGGAAAAAUAGUAAACAUUGAGUAAAUGCUGUAGAAGUGAAUUUGUAAAUAUUCUACACAUGUAAAAUAUAUAAAACUAUGGGUUAUUUUUAUAAAAUGU